GACAUUUAUUCUGCAACUAGCUAUGACGUGCAGAGGCAUGUUCAGGUCUGAGUUCCCCAAGGCUUCUGUGGGAAGGUUUCACAAGAUUUCUUUUGAACAAACGUCUAGAGAUAAUGUGAAGCCACUGGAGAUUAGGAGAAAAUCCUUCCACUCAUCUGUGUCUUACUUCCUUCAAUUCGUCCUUGCAGAUCUCUCUGUCAGAGCUCUAGCCAAACUGCAGAGACACAAUGUUUGAUUCUUGUUGGUCUGCUUUGCUUCUUUCAAGUCAAGGGCUUUCUAUUCUCUUACCUUGCUUCCUCCCUAGGUCUAGCUGCUUCCUAUUCUGCCCAGGACUGUGACACCCUUCCUUUAAAAUGCUGGAAUUGACCUUGAAUGUUCCAUUCUUUGAUCCUUCAUGGAGCUGUUCCUUCACAGUACCAAAUGCCUUAAAAGUUCAAACUUAAAGAGUGGUCUGACUCAAAGGAACGCUGCUGGAUUUGAGAGUAAAUAGACAAAUCAAAACCCUUCCCCUGUGACAGUCAGGACCCUUCGCUGAGCUUGGGAGUAAUGCAAUGAGCUGUCCUGUCCUGGUUUCAUUUCUGUGACUAUGAAGAAAUAUCUGACAAGCAGCAACUGAGGACAUUAUAAUUCCAUGUUAUGGCCCAGCAUUUUAGGAGCAUCAAGGCAAGAACUCAAGCAGCCGGUCAUAUCACAUCAACAGUCAGCAACAAACAAAAAGCAAGGGUAUCUUGCUUGGUUGCUAGACUGCGCAUACUCAGGUAACAUUCUUCAUUCUUAGAGAGUUCAGGCCCCAACCCAUGAAGUGGUGCUGCCUGGAUUCUGCCAUGAUUUUCUCACCCCAGUCAACAAUCAAAGCAACUGACUGAAGACAUUUGAAAAAUCCAACUCAACCUAAGUAGUUCUCCAUUAGCACUCUACACAAGUAAUUUUAGGGAUGUGACAAGUCACUGACUUAGUUUUACUAGUCAUCGUGGAGAAUUUUAAGAAACUGUUACCACAGCUUAUGGAUUGCAGUAAUGUAUUAUACACACAAAAAAAUUACAAUUUGUGAAUAGAGAUAAACUAGAGAACAGCAAGCAUUUACUCCUGCUCAUCUUUUUAAGAGACGGGAAUUUUUUGGGUCACUCUAUGAAUGUUCUUUCACUUAUUUCUUGUAGUGAGUCUCUAAUAUAUCUUAUAACAAUAUCAGUUUCAUGAUAAUAUAACUAGAAAUUUACAAAUAACUUACCCAGUGUCAGAACUGGAAGAGGGCAAUGUUAACAUGAGAAUCCAAGUCAACCCCAAAUCGAUUUUUUUACACCGUGUUGUCAUCCUUGCCUGGGAAGACAAGUACAUCUCUCACCUACCUGUAGAGCAGGUGAGGGUUUAUCUGAGUGCUACUGCAGUUGCUCUGACGGUUUUCAUGUUUCCUGUGGAAGCCAUCCUGUCUAACAUACAUUGCUCCUGGCUCUUUUGUUUCUACCUUUCCUCUCUCUCCUCCUGCCCAUUCCCCCAUCAGAAUAAUCUUAGCAAUACAAUGUCUCUUUCUAGCUAAAGUACAGGUGCCAAGAGCAAGAGUUGAACAAGAUAAUUUUAGACAUCAAAAGUGAGAGAAUCCCAGAAUUUAUCUUGUUCACAUUCAUAUUUACCUUUUUUUUUCAUGUCUCUAACAUUACUUCAAGAAGUGUCCACCCUCCUAAGAUCUAGAAGUCUGUCUUGUUAUAACCCAGUUGGUAAUGUUUGAUAAAUGAAUGAGUGAGUGAAUGAAUGAAUGAAUGAAUGAAACUGAAGUCAUUCUUGAACUUCUACCAAAGAUGCUGGAUAAAUUGCUCUAUACAUAUGAUACCACCCUCCAAUAGCACAUAGCAACAGAAACUGAAGGUGUGUUCAUUUUGAAAGUUAGUCCUCAAAAAAGAUGCCCUAAAGGUCACACUGAUUCUACAGAGUCUUUAAGGGGGAGAGUAGUUAGCAUUCUUUUUCCUUUCCUUUUCCUUUAUUCUGAUCUUGCAUCAGGCUGACUUAGCUUCCAGGUGGCUCCCUGAUGGGGCAAAGGGUAUGAAGCUGGUGUGCUAUAAAUUAUAGUGAUUACAACAUGACAGCAAGCCCCCAGCUGAGGCCUGGAACUCCCUGCUAGGAGAGCACUCAAGGACAUUCAGUCUCCUGAAGGUUUAGGAACUCAAACGGCUUUGCCUACUCCCAGAGCUUUUUAACUUCUAUAAUUCUGACACUUGUUGGAUGCAUUUUAUCUCCCAAUCCGUUUAAUUAGGAGACAUCAGAUUAAAAAUGAUCUAAUGCUUCUGAAAGGCACUUGAACUCCAAGACACACUUACAAAACUGUGAUCUUUCCUUGUCUCUCAUUCCAUCCCUCCAGCACCCAUGAUGGACAGUGUGAAGAAACGGGGUCUUGUGAAACACCAGUGGCCAAAGAAAGAAAAAAGGACAGUGCAGUAGAGCUCACGCAGGAAGCAGUGUGGCCGGUGUCAGACACAACCCUUUCCAAUAGCCAGGAUGAGAAUGUGUAUGCCUUUAUUUCCCAUCAGCAUCUCUUGCUUCUGGGUUUUUCUUUUGUAAAAAGAAAGAACAGCUGUUUAACUGGCUCUGAGAUCAGAAAUAGCAAAAGGUGGACUGGGUAUAGGCUAAAACUGAAGCAUACAUGAAGUUAGGCAGCGAGAAGCGAGAAGGGAGAAGGCAUAGCACACACUAGAGUCUCUCGUGGUCCAGAUUCUGUCAAUACCCAUCCAUUUUCAAGGAUACAGUUUUUUUUGUUGUUUUUUGUUUUUUGUUUGUUUUUCGAGACAGGGUUUUUUUGUGCAGCUCUGGCUGUCCUGGAACUCACUUUGUAGGCCAGGCUGGCCUCGAACUCAGAAAUCCGCCUGCCUCUGCAUCCCAAGUGCUAUUAAAAAAAAAAAAAAAAAAAAAAAAAAAAAAAAAAAAAACCUUGGCCACCGAAGAUCAGUAAUUCCAAAGCUACCAAGGUAAGAGCUAUAAAAUUGAUCCUUUCCAUGGGGACAGCCACAAAUGAACUGUUUUCUGAAUAAAUUCUCUCAGCAAUAGCAAGCAGGGAGGCCACUCAGGACAGCCCGCAACGCUGGAUCUCACCUUCCAAGCUUUUUGGGACAGGAAGAGGAGUUUAGAGAGAGAGAUGGGGGAAAGCUAUUUGCAAAGUAGUGUUUAUUAUACUAUACCACAAUGCUUUAAAUUUUCAGAUAAAAAGAGCCUGCUUGGCUAAUGAUCAAUAGAUAUGACUAGGAAGAUCAAAUGGAUUGGAGGCAGCCCUGUAAGGUCAGAUGAAUGGAGCAAUUUCUACAGCAUCUUUGGUAGAAGUCCAAGAAUGACUUCAGUUUCAUUCAUCCAUCCAUUCAUUCACUCACUCAUUCAUUCAUCAAAUAGGUCAGAUCAGAUGUAUUGGAGGCAGCCCUAUAAGAUACUAGCAGAGACUAAACAGGUUUUAACUGCAGAUAUUGCUAUUAUGUGUUUGUAUGUUUAUUAUUAAAAUUUCAUUACUCUUUUCUUCCUUGGUUUAAGAAAAGUAAAGUAGACAUCCCAUGGGAUUUGACUUUGUUUUGUUUGUCAUCUCCAUUGAGCCCAUUCAAAUCUGUCUUGGGUCCAUUGAACUCCAGGAAGAGGCUGUGAGAAUGGAAAUAUAUUAAAAGCAACACCCUUAUCUAACUAUAAAGGGCUUUUCCAACUCUAUGUCCUUCCACAUUGCGUACAUGGGACCCUAGCAUGGAGUUAGCUGUGUACUUUCAAUUUCUGGAUAGAAAUUGUUAUACAAAUGAGCUGUAAGAUCUCUGAUACCCAGCAACUUAGUCUACUAGUGGGUGGUUCAAAUCUCAGAAUAAAUAAUUUUAAUAAAUUGUGGAAAUCCAUCUUAUCAUUCUCUUUUAGUUAAUGUUUUGAAGCUUGGGUAAAAGGAAAUGAGUAAGAGUCACUGGGAUUGGCAGGACAAGCACCAUCUUGGUAAAAUGGUUAUUCUGUAGGCCAUUUGAGAAGUUUUGCCCAAGCAGUGGGAUACCCUGAGAUAUUAUGGCCAAGGCAUGCUGAAAUUGUAUCAGCAGAGCAUUCUGGUAGUAAAAGAGAGUUCUGGGUGGAACAUAAUUUGCCUUGUGUUGCCUGGUGUUUCAUAGUUAGUGGCAUAUUCUUUUGACUUUCUUGUCAUAAUCUAGUCUAAGAAACAAAGAGACCAAAACCUUGUACGAUAGUGACCAAAAGCUUACCAACGAGCAGGCAUUACUGGGUGCUUUGGAUCGUGUUUACACUUCCUGAGAGAAUUGUUCACUCUAUAAGUGACUCAUAUAACAAACAAAUUCCAGGUUUACCUCUCAAUCUUUGAAUCUCCAAAUGGUACAAAUCUUCUGAAUCAAGACUACCUGCUGCCUCGUGUCUCAUUAAAGGGCCUGCAGCCUUCAGCAGGAUGAGACUUACUGACCAUCAUCAUGUGCUCUUGAUGCACAUGAGCUCUUGAAAGAGGAGAAAAGAAAGAAAACAAAGAAUCCACCCUAAGGAGUCCUGUAACCAGAAACAGUUGUAGUAAUACCUGUAUCUUCAGGGUGGGUAAAGAAACCUCCCUGCCUUGUGAAUGUCUUGAUUUUAUUCCAUAGCUUAGAUAUAAUUUAGAAUGAAAAGGAGCAAUGUAAUUAACAUUAUGGAGUGUGUGUGUGUGUGUGUGUGUGUGUGUGCUUACAGUCUCGAGUGUGUGUAUGUCAAUGACCCAUCAGGCCAUGCAGCUGUUAAAAUGCUUGGUUGGUUCACGUUUCUAUGAAUGCCUCUUGAAAGUCAAUUUAAACUCCCAAAUUUGAAGAACUGCAAAGCUAAAACAACAAACGAAGUCCAGUGUGUGACUUCAAUAGGAGUAGAUAAAAAAUUUCAAGAAGGUUAUGUCAGAUUUUAACUUCCCUAUCAUUAUUAAUUUAAUUUCCAGUCAUUAUGAUAAUACCAAGCAUUUAGAAUGCAUUUGGUGUUUAUGUAAAUGAAAUUACUCCUCAAAAUUACAAUUUCAAAUUAAUAUGCUAUUAAAAAUGUCACCCCA
rnacentral:lncRNA from 1 species